rnacentral:rRNA from 1 species
CAGCAGCCACGGGAAUACGUAGGGUGCAAGCGUUAAUCGGAAUUACUGGGCGUAAAGCGUGCGCAGGCGGUGUUGUAAGACUGAUGUGAAAUCCCCGGGCUCAACCUGGGAACUGCAUUUGUGACUGUAUAGCUAGAGUACGGCAGAGGGGGAUGGAAUUCCGCGUGUAGCAGUGAAAUGCGUAGAUAUGCGGAGGAACACCGAUGGCGAAGGCAAUCCCCUGGGCCUGUACUGACGCUCAUGCACGAAAGCGUGGGGAGCAAACAGGAUUAGAUACCCCCGUAGUCCCUGUCUCUUAUAC